UACGUAGGCAGCAAGCGUUGUUCGGAGUUACUGGGCGUAAAGAGUAUGUAGGCGGUUGGGUAAGUUUGGUGUGAAAUCUCCCGGCUUAACUGGGAGGGUGCGCUAAAGACUGCCUGGCUCGAGCGUGGGAGAGGAAAGCGGAAUUCCUGGUGUAGCGGUGAAAUGCGUAGAUAUCAGGAGGAACACCUGCGGUGUAGACGGCUUUCUGGACCAUAACUGACGCUGAGAUACGAAAGCGUGGGUAGCAAACAGG
rnacentral:rRNA from 1 species